rnacentral:rRNA from 1 species
GGGUGACGAAGCGACGCCGCGUGGGUGAGGAAGGGCUUCGGGUUGUAAAGCCCUGUCAGGAGUUAAGAAAUGUAGACUCGCUAAUAUCGGGUCUAUUUGACAAAGGCUCCAAAGGAAGCCACGGCUAACUCUGUGCCAGCAGCCGCGGUAAUACAGAGGUGGCAAGCGUUGUUCGGAAUUAUUGGGCGUAAAGAGCACGUAGGUGGAUUUGUAAGUCAGACGUGAAAGCCUUUUGUUCAACGGAAGAAUUGCAUCUGAAACUACAAACCUUGAGUGUAGGAGGGGGGAAUGGAACUUCUGGUGGAGCGGUGAAAUGCGUAGAUAUCAGAAGGAACGUCGGCGGCGAAAGCGACUCUCUGGCCUAUUACUGACACUGAGUGUGCGAAAGUUAGGGGAGCAAACGGGAUUAGAUACCCCGGUAGUCCUAACUGUAAACGAUGGGCACUAAGUAGAGG